GGAACUUAUACUAAUUUGGUAGUGUAUCUAAUUUUAGGUGAAGAGUCAGUUGUAUUCUUGCCAGCUUGAUAGGUCAGACAAGUUUCUUCUGUAGUCAAUAAUUUCAUGAACAAUCAAAAAUCUAUAACUCCCUGUUGUCAUUUCCAGGAAAUACAUGAAAUCUUUCCUAAUUGCUGUUAGAAUGUUCUGUGCUUGAAGAGGGCAUCAGGUGAUACACCUGACAAUGGGAAGAGAAGAUGUUUUGGGAAUGCCAUCUACCAGAAUUGUGGGCAACAGGAAUGAAGAGUCAAAAAACAUCUUUCCUGAUGUUUUUUAUUUUCCAUAUACUCUUAAGGCAAGGAAAUAGCUUUUUUGUUAACAACUGAAUGAUAAAGGGCAUGUAAACUUUCUUCAUCUCUCAGAAGCCCUUGAUCUCUGUAGGAUAGAUUUGAUGGGAAAAUGAAUAAAUUCCUUUUCCUGCUGAAUUGAUGUUUUGGGAGUACAGUGGGCUCUGAAUUAUUGUCUCUUGCUACAGAACAUUAGAGAGAAAUAAGAUAGCUGAGUUCUGUUAACAUCAGAAUAGGAG
rnacentral:lncRNA from 1 species